UACGUAGGGUGCGAGCGUUAAUCGGAAUUACUGGGCGUAAAGUGUGCGCAGGCGGCCGAGCAAGUCGAGUGUGAAAGCCCCGGGCUUAACUUGGGAAUUGCGCUCGAAACUACUUGGCUGGAGUGUGGCAGAGGAAGGUGGAAUUCCAGGUGUAGCGGUGAAAUGCGUAGAGAUCUGGAGGAACACCGAUGGCGAAGGCAGCCUUCUGGGCCAACACCGACGCUCAUGCACGAAAGCGUGGGGAGCAAACAGG
rnacentral:rRNA from 1 species